rnacentral:rRNA from 1 species
UACGAAGGGGGCUAGCGUUGCUCGGAAUCACUGGGCGUAAAGGGUGCGUAGGCGGGUCUUUAAGUCAGGGGUGAAAUCCUGGAGCUCAACUCCAGAACUGCCUUUGAUACUGAAGAUCUUGAGUUCGGGAGAGGUGAGUGGAACUGCGAGUGUAGAGGUGAAAUUCGUAGAUAUCCGCAAGAACACCAGUGGCGAAGGCGGCUCACUGGCCCGAUACUGACGCUGAGGCACGAAAGCGUGGGGAGCAAACAGG